AGAUUGAACGCUGGCGGCAGGCCUAACACAUGCAAGUCGAGCGGUAGAGAGGUGCUUGCAUCUCUUGAGAGCGGCGGACGGGUGAGUAAUGCCUAGGAAUCUGCCUAGUGGUGGGGGAUAACGUUCGGAAACGGACGCUAAUACCGCAUACGUCCUACGGGAGAAAGCGGGGGACCUUCGGGCCUCGCGCCAUUAGAUGAGCCUAGGUCGGAUUAGCUAGUUGGUGAGGUAAUGGCUCACCAAGGCGACGAUCCGUAACUGGUCUGAGAGGAUGAUCAGUCACACUGGAACUGAGACACCGGUCCAGACUCCUACGGGAGCAGCAGUGGGGAAUAUUGGACAAGU
rnacentral:rRNA from 1 species